rfam:Myotis lucifugus cont2.42928, whole genome shotgun sequence.
GCCCUGGUGGCUCAGUUGGUUGGAGUAUUGUCCUACACACUAAAAAGUUGUGGGUUCGGUUCCCAGUCAGGGCA